AUGCAAGUCGAACGAGCUUCCGUUGAAUGACGUGCUUGCACUGAUUUCAACAAUGAAGCGAGUGGCGAACUGGUGAGUAACACGUGGGAAAUCUGCCCAGAAGCAGGGGAUAACACUUGGAAACAGGUGCUAAUACCGUAUAACAACAAAAUCCGCAUGGAUUUUGUUUGAAAGGUGGCUUCGGCUAUCACUUCUGGAUGAUCCCGCGGCGUAUUAGUUAGUUGGUGAGGUAAAGGCCCACCAAGACGAUGAUACGUAGCCGACCUGAGAGGGUAAUCGGCCACAUUGGGACUGAGACACGGCCCAAACUCCUACGGGAGGCAGCAGUAGGGAAUCUUCCACAAUGGACGAAAGUCUGAUGGAGCAAUGCCGCGUGAGUGAAGAAGGGUUUCGGCUCGUAAAACUCUGUUGUUAAAGAAGAACACCUUUGAGAGUAACUGUUCAAGGGUUGACGGUAUUUAACCAGAAAGCCACGGCUAACUACGUGCCAGCAGCCGCGGUAAUACGUAGGUGGCAAGCGUUGUCCGGAUUUAUUGGGCGUAAAGCGAGCGCAGGCGGUUUUUUAAGUCUGAUGUGAAAGCCUUCGGCUUAACCGGAGAAGUGCAUCGGAAACUGGGAGACUUGAGUGCAGAAGAGGACAGUGGAACUCCAUGUGUAGCGGUGGAAUGCGUAGAUAUAUGGAAGAACACCAGUGGCGAAGGCGGCUGUCUAGUCUGUAACUGACGCUGAGGCUCGAAAGCAUGGGUAGCGAACAGGAUUAGAUACCCUGGUAGUCCAUGCCGUAAACGAUGAGUGCUAAGUGUUGGAGGGUUUCCGCCCUUCAGUGCUGCAGCUAACGCAUUAAGCACUCCGCCUGGGGAGUACGACCGCAAGGUUGAAACUCAAAGGAAUUGACGGGGGCCCGCACAAGCGGUGGAGCAUGUGGUUUAAUUCGAAGCUACGCGAAGAACCUUACCAGGUCUUGACAUCUUCUGCCAAUCUUAGAGAUAAGACGUUCCCUUCGGGGACAGAAUGACAGGUGGUGCAUGGUUGUCCUCAGCUCGUGCCGGGAGAUGUUGGGUUAAGUCCCGCAACGAGCGCAACCCUUAUUAUCAGUUGCCAGCAUUCAGUUGGGCACUCUGGUGAAACUGCCGGUGAC
rnacentral:rRNA from 2 species